rnacentral:rRNA from 1 species
GACGAACGCUGGCGGCGUGCCUAAUACAUGCAAGUUGAGCGCUGAAGGUUGGUACUUGUACCAACUGGAUGAGCAGCGAACGGGUGAGUAACGCGUGGGGAAUCUGCCUUUGAGCGGGGGACAACAUUUGGAAACGAAUGCUAAUACCGCAUAAAAACUUUAAACACAAGUUUUAAGUUUGAAAGAUGCAAUUGCAUCACUCAAAGAUGAUCCCGCGUUGUAUUAGCUAGUUUGUGAGGUAAAGGCUCACCAAGGCGAUGAUACAUAGCCGACCUGAGAGGGUGAUCGGCCACAUUGGGACGUAGACACGGCCCAAACUCCUACGGGAGGCAGCAGGAGGGAAUCUUCGGCAAUGGACGAAAGUCUGACCGAGCAACGCCGCGUGAGUGAAGAAGGUUUUCGGAUCGUAAAACUCUGUUGGUAGAGAAGAACGUUGGUGAGAGUGGAAAGCUCAUCAAGUGACGGUAACUACCCAGAAAGGGACGGCUAACUACGUG